AUGGAGCAUUUACCCCAUGGAAGUCACUCAGCUAGAAAACGGAGAAAAUGCAGCACUGUCCCUGCCUGCCUUCAAGGAGCUCACGAAAUUAAUCUCUUCACCAUUGUAUCUUGCAUAUAUUUAUUUUUGGGUUCACGUAUUUCAAUACUGGCAUCCAGAAGAUGCACAGGAAACAACUCUGUUCCAAUGCAUCAGCAUUUUCAUAAUGAGUGGGGAGAGGCCCCGAGGGUAAGAGGUCGACUUUUGGACAAGAGGAAGAUGAAUAUGUUCUCCCUGUCCCUCUGCUGCCUGAAUCACCUGAAGCAGACAGACCUGGACUUUGUUACAGACUAUGAGUUUGGCUGGGAAUUCAGCUGCACGUGAUGGAUCAUGCUUACCUUGCCUUCCCCCACCUGCAUGCCUCCCCUUGAAGAAGAUAAGCAUCUUUGGGAGCGAGAAUUUUUAAAUGAGAUUGUUUAUGCAUCAAGGAGUAAGUAUUAAUAGCUAAAGUGCAUUCAUAUGGUGAUUGUUUUCUGGUGAUGAGAAUGGGAAAUGUUAUUUCUCUAUUAAAUUAUGGAAGCCACUGGAUUAUGCAUUACAUGCUGAUGUGCCAGCUCUGUUUCUCUCUACUCACAGUGAUGCUUUGAGUCUCAUUUUCAAACUAGACACCUCUGUAAAUUGACCUGAAUGUUCUGUGUGUACACGGGCAUUGACGCAGAGGGAAAACAGCGGUUGCUCAGCAAGCACGUUUCUUCUACUCUGGGAUCUGCAGUACAGGCAGUACUCUCUGCCAAGGUACGUUCUGGAGUCCUGUGCUUUGCCCAAGGUCCCCACCCUAUCAGGGACAUAAGUGCAUCCAGGAAGGGGAGGGUCUGCAAAGUGAGUCACAGGGGCAACAGUGGAAGAAACCAGGGGUGUUUAGUACAAAGAGGCAAAAACUAGGGCACGUGUGAAAGUUGUCUUCAAAUACUUGAAUAAAGAAGUUCUGUACAGGAGGUUGACACUUGCUCUGUGCUACCCUGGAACACAAAACUAGAAUCAAAAGAGAGAUGAUUUCUGGUUCCACAAAAUAAUACAAUUUUCCUUUUUUUGCAGCAUCUAACUAUUCGUAAAGUCCUUUCAAAAACAUUGUCACCAGAAAAUAAUCUCCAUGACGAGAGGAGGUUUGCCUGAUUUUUGUUUUUCUUUUAGUAUCCACUGUUCCUGUGAUAGUGCUUGGCACAUAGGAACUGCUCAAUUCAUAUUGGCUGAAUAAAUGAAUGAAUGAGUUGGUUUCUAUGAGGGUUGAUGUGAUAAGCCCAUUUUGUGGAUGACAAAAAUUGAGAAGUUUAGAUAUGUAAAGUGGUUUCCUAAGCUCACCUAUGCUCCUGAACUAUCCUGAACCCAGGCCCCCUAAUAAGAGUCUACUGGCUUACUCAAAGGCUUAAUGAGCUUAGCUUUCUAUCAUAAAUUGGGCCAUCUCCAGUGGUAGUUGGCGAGCUCCUUAUCAGAUUUCGAACAGGCUUAUUUGCACCUCUGCUGCUGUUAUGACCCUGCAUCAGCUGGACAGUCAAGUUUUGAGGGGCUGGAUGAAUCACAGAUUGGCUGGCUUUCUUACUGCUGAGGCGAUUAAAAACAGCUUUUCACAUUUCAUUUUCUCCGUGUCUCCUCUCACCUCCCCUCCCUUUCUGUGUAUCUUCCAUUCUUCCCAGAUCUCUGAAAUGCCUCUGUCACACAGUUCCUCUCUCUCUCUCCUUGUCCCUCCAGUUGGGAGAAAAGCUGUUGUAUUACCCUGUUCACACAUUGCUAUAUAUAAAUACCUGAGACUAGAUAACUUAUAAAGAAAAGAGGUUUAAUUGGCUCAUGGUUCUGCAAGCUGUACAGGAAGCAUGGCUGGGGAGGCCUCAGGAAACUUACACUCAUGGCAGAAGGCAAAGCAGAGGAAGGCACAUCUUCGCAUGGCCAGAGCAGAAGGAAGAGAGAGAAGGGGGAAAUGUUACACACUUUUAAACAACCAGAUCUCAUGAGAACUCACUCACUAUCAUGAGAACAGCAAGGAGGAAAUCUGCCCUCAUCAUCCAAUCACUUCCCACCAGGUCCCACCUCCAACACUGGGGAUUACAAUUUGACAUGAGAUUUGGGUGGGGACACAGACCUAAACCAUAUCAGCUAUGUUGACUAAUCACUAAAACUUUAGCAAGCAGUAGUUUAACUCACGACUUUCUCAGAGUUAUUUGCUUAUUUAAAGCACUGUAGAGAGAGCCCCAAAGGAAAAAUAUGUAAUGGUUGAGUUCCAGGCACCAUGAACCUUGGAGGAUGAACUCAUGUUGGAGGUGGAAGAGUGAUAUAAGAACCCUUCCAAAUGGCCCUGAAAUCACAGCAAUCAGACAACCCCACACCUCAUUUUUAAAAAGCCCACUCCCAUGAGGGCCUUCUUCCCUCUUGCCCACCUGGUUACAUCAUCCUACCCCAUAGCUUGAUCCCCAAUGUACCCAUCUAGACCUCCAGCUUUCUUACAAAGCUUAAAAAAACUUCCCUUGGUGGAGUGGUGAUGAGUAUGUUUUAGUGUAGAAAGAAACCAGAAAUAGAAAUUACUAAACACAGAUAUUUUAAAAAAUGAUUAAAGGUGUGGGGACUUUGUAGGUGUGAGAGAAAACAAAUCCAUGGUACUCCCAUUCCCAUUAGCAUCUCCAGAAAGCCUCAUUCACAUAGAGGCUGUCUAUGACUUGAAGGCCUCAUACCUGCUCACCUGGCCUUCAUCACUCACGCCAGGCACCACAGCUCUGGAGAGCCUCUGUCUCCAGUCGUAGGAGUCCAGGAAACCACACUCCUUUCCUUCUCAGUCAACGGCAUGGUCUCCAAAGAAUAAGAAACGAUGGGAAUUUUGAUGAGCACCCAGCAACAAGAAAAUAGCCAAUGGGCUCACUAAUAAGAAAGCAAGCCUUCUCCAGAAAAAUCUGUCUGCUUUACUUUCCCCUUAUCAAUAUUGCUCUGAGAGUUAAUUUGUCACUGUAUAGCCAGAAAGCUCACCCCCGUCUUUUUUAAUGUUUCACGCUAGGUUUGCCCAAUAAGAGUAAUAAAAAUAAUGACACCAUUAUUCCUCUUCUCUCUUUGUUUUUAGUGCAUCACUUGCAGAUUUUAAUAAUGAAUUAUGCUUACAUUAUCUGUACUUUCUUGCUCUUGACUUCCUCUACUGGCUAAAAGUGAAGCUAUUAUCCAAUUGUCAAAGACUGAGUAGCCUUCCCUGGCACAGUCAGUGAUCUUGUGAUGUAGAUACACUCUAGGGCAAAAUUAUCACAAGUACAAUUUCAAGCUAUAUAAGAGAAAAUUACCAGCCAGUGUGGAACUGAAUCCAGAACCUGGUGAAAUAUUAAAUAUUUCAUUAGUAAUCCUUUUGGAACUAAAAUAAGCAGACAACAGAAUUAGUUAUGAGUUGGGCAUAAAAGGCUAAUUAAUGUUAUUGUAUUUGGUUGAUUGACUUCAAGGCUAUUAAAUCAUUAUUUUAUUGUCUGAAUCUCUGCCUCACUCAGGCUAAAGAAGCCAUUUUAUCAGAAAAACUGUGUUUUUUCUUUCUCUCUUUUUUUUUUUAAACAAACAAACAAACAAAAACCAAAAAACUUCUGCUGCUUCUAAGGAGACUCAUUUGUGUGCCUGAACUUGGCUUCUUAUACAGUUGAGUUUGCAUCCCUGAAUAGAUCUUCCAGUAAAUUUUAGAUGAUAUAAAAUAUACAUCUGCCAUCAAGGAUAGAUUGAAAGUGGAUGGGACAACCACCCAGAGAGGUCAGCAACCACAUCUGGAAGGUACUGCAGAGGUCAUGUUGUCCAACACUUUGCACCAACGGGUGAGUGUACUGUAUACUUUUCAUCUACUUCGUCAUCUUCGUCGCCUUCAUCUCCUUCUGCCUCUUACAGAUUUCUGGCUCCAUGUUCCAUUCUAUAAUCCACCAUCCACAGAACCAAGCAAAAUAAUUCUCUGCCCACCUUAAACAAACUCAUGCAAAAAUAUAUUAGAACCUAUUUGUGAUGACUGUCUUCAAGUAUUCACUCCCAAUUCCACAGGUGCCACUUAGUGAGGACUAAUGUUGAGGACCACGUGUCAACCUAAGCAUCCAAAGGAGAUUCUCACAUCUUAGCCUGGGCCUGGUGUAUGACACCUCCAAGUGCAUUGGAAAAAAGGCUCCUUCCCUCUGUGCCAUUGCAGCCCACCACCAAUGAAUGUAUCGGGGCAAACAAAGUACAGAGUUGGAUUUCAGCACAACUUGUUGGCUUGACCAGACACACGUGAAUAGAGGACAACCUGAACAACCAUACACAGUGACUCAGGAUGGACUGUCUUUUGCUAGAGAUAACUCUCAACAAAGAUCUAAAGUGAGCAAAGCUCAUCUCAAGGAAUUUCCAUAUUUGCCUUCCUUUCCUUUCCUUUCCUUCUCUGGCCAGCCUAUCUGUGCAGAUGCUAGAAUUUAUUUUUCAGUCAGGAACUAAGAAGUACUCAAGGCUACUGGAUUAUGCAUGCCAUGCUGAUGUGCCAGCUCUGUUUCUCUCUACUCACAGUGAUGCCUGGAGCCUCAUUUUCAAUCUAGACACCUCUGUAAAUUGAGCUGAAUGUUCUAUGUGUACACGGACACAGAGGAAAAACAGUGGUUGCUCAGAAAGCAUGUUUCUUUUUUUUACUUUUAGUGGUAGUGGGAUCCCUCCUGCAAGUCCGGGAUUCUCAUCUG
ensembl:lncRNA